UACACUCCUGCGGGAGGCAGCAGUGGGGAAUAUUGGACAAUGGGCGCAAGCCUGAUCCAGCCAUGCCGCGUGAGUGAUGAAGGCCCUAGGGUUGUAAAGCUCUUUCACCGGUGAAGAUAAUGACGGUAACCGGAGAAGAAGCCCCGGCUAACUUCGUGCCAGCAGCCGCGGUAAUACGAAGGGGGCUAGCGUUGUUCGGAUUUACCGGGCGUAAAGCGCACGUAGGCGGACUAUUAAGUCAGGGGUGAAAUCCCGGGGCUCAACCCCGGAACUGCCUUUGAUACUGGUAGUCUUGAGUUCGAGAGAGGUGAGUGGAAUUCCGAGUGUAGAGGGGAAAUUCGUAGAUAUUCGGAGGAACACCAGUGGCGAAGGCGGCUCACUGGCUCGAUACUGACGCUGAGGUGCGAAAGCGUGGGGAGCAAACAGGAUUAGAUACCCGGGUAGUCCCAUGAU
rnacentral:rRNA from 1 species